GCGUUAGCGACAUCGCCAAACACGUCGUGUGGUGUGAGAACGAAGGUGGCGCUACUGCAAAAGGGGCAGUGGUCCUGUAGUUUGUUCAAGAAGGGAAGAUGUCUUCGUCAACGCCCUUGGUCACAAUGACGCGAUGCAAAAAAUGACAACGAUGAACAAUGGCGCUGUCACAGAGAUGAGGUGGAAGGAGAUGCUAUCACGAAUGAAAAAAAGAGGAUCGAAGGGCGAACCAAAUCCUUAAUUCUCAGAAACAACUAUGUUUAAUUAACUUUUCUCAAAUUCUUUAAUUAAAAAAAAAGAAUAAAAAUCCACGUCAAAAAAACAAAAAUCCCUUUAACAACUUGUCACGUCAAUCAAAACAGUAAUAUCAGCAUGUCAUGUCAAUGUCUGUCUAACGUCGUUUAGUCUAUUUAAUGGUAAGGGUAUAAUUGUAGCAAUUUUGCAAAUAUAAGGACC
rnacentral:lncRNA from 1 species